UACGUAGGGUGCAAGCGUUAAUCGGAAUUACUGGGCGUAAAGCGUGCGCAGGCGGUGAUGUAAGACAGUUGUGAAAUCCCCGGCUCAACCUGGGAACUGCAUUUGUGACUGCAUAGCUAGAGUACGGUAGAGGGGGAUGGAAUUCCGCGUGUAGCAGUGAAAUGCGUAGAUAUGCGGAGGAACACCGAUGGCGAAGGCAAUCCCCUGGACCUGUACUGACGCUCAUGCACGAAAGCGUGGGGAGCAAACAGG
rnacentral:rRNA from 1 species